rnacentral:rRNA from 1 species
CCGUAGGUGAACCUGCGGAGGGAUCAUUACAGAGUUGCAAAACUCCCUAAACCAUUGUGAACGUUACCUAAACCGUUGCUUCGGCGGGCGGCCCGGGUCCUUCCCGGCGCCCCUCGGCCCUCGCGGGCGCCCGCCGGAGGUAAACCAAACUAUUGCAUUGUAUGGCCUCUCUGAGUCUUCUGUACUGAAUAAGUCAAAACUUUCAACAACGGAUCUCUUGGUUCUGGCAUCGAUGAAGAACGCAGCGAAAUGCGAUAAGUAAUGUGAAUUGCAGAAUUCAGUGAAUCAUCGAAUCUUUGAACGCACAUUGCGCCCGCCAGUAUUCUGGCGGGCAUGCCUGUUCGAGCGUCAUUUCAACCAUCAAGCCCCGGGCUUGUGUUGGGGACCUGCGGCUGCCGCAGGCCCUGAAAUGCAGUGGCGGGCUCGCUGUCACUCCGAGCGUAGUAGUUACAUCUCGCUCUGGGCGUGCUGCGGGUUCCGGCCGUCAAAAGCCUUAUUUACCCAAGGUUGACCUCGGAUCAGGUAGGAAGACCCGCUGAACUUAAGCAUAUCAAUAAGCGGAGGAA